UGGGGAAUCUUGCGCAAUGGGGGGAACCCUGACGCAGCGACGCCGCGUGCGGGACGGAGGCCUUCGGGUCGUAAACCGCUUUCAGCAGGGAAGAGUCAAGACUGUACCUGCAGAAGAAGCCCCGGCUAACUACGUGCCAGCAGCCGCGGUAAUACGUAGGGGGCGAGCGUUAUCCGGAUUCAUUGGGCGUAAAGCGCGCGUAGGCGGCCCGGCAGGCCGGGGGUCGAAGCGGGGGGCUCAACCCCCCGAAGCCCCGGAACCUCCGCGGCUUGGGUCCGGUAGGGGAGGGUGGAACACCCGGUGUAGCGGUGGAAUGCGCAGAUAUCGGGUGGAACACCGGUGGCGAAGGCGGCCCUCUGGGCCGAGACCGACGCUGAGGCGCGAAAGCUGGGGGAGCGAACAGG
rnacentral:rRNA from 1 species